rnacentral:lncRNA from 1 species
AUCUUAAAGGUGUUGAAAGAAAAUCUACAAUAAACCUCAAAAGAGUCCUUAAAAAGUCCUUAAAAAUAUUAGAAUAAUGACAAAUAUAUCUUAAAUAAAUUUCAACUAAGUUCAAAUUCAAUCCUACUUGAAAUUCUAAUAGAUUCAAUCAAAUCCUAGACAAAUCUUAAAUCCUAAACCAAAUCCUAAUCUUAUUCAAUCUAAUACUAGUAUAGUUUAGAAUCUCAAUAUCUAUAAAUUGAACCAUUGAUCUUAUUUAAAAAUUUUCACACCUUUUAAUAAUUAAAUUAGAAAUAAGCACAAAAAAUUUAAAGAUAAUUGUACUUAUUAAAUAGAAAAUAAAUCCUAAAAACCACUUUGAUGUUGGUCGGUCUCCUACACCAAUCUAAAUAUUGACCUUUAAUGCUAGUAUUUCUUUAUUGAACUAUUUAAUUGUCUUCAAAUUUCACAUGUGUAUAGAAAUUCAAGUCUAUUGUUCUUAAAUAUAAAUUUUAUUCCAAUUCAACUUGUAGAUUGCUAAAGAUCUUAGAAACUCUAACUACCUCUAAAAGUCCAAUUUUUGAGAUCUCUAUCUACUUAAAAUUCAAUAGUCUUCAAUUCAACUAUUUAAUAAAACUCAAAAUUAUAGCAUAUACUUCAAAAAAUUAUUUUUAUAAAUCAUCAAAUUUUGAAUUGUAGAUCUACUAUCAAAAUCACGAAAUUCUCUAAAACAUAUAUCUUUUUUAUUUCACAAAUUUGAAAGUCACUUAAAAAUAAUUAUGACUUUACAAAGCUCUUGCAAUAUCAUUAUAUAU